AGUGUGAAGAUGGAGCAACUUGAGUGUAAAUGGACAGACAUUUGCAAACAUCCUGAUGUGUGGACUCUGCUAUGAAUCAGGCCGAGGACACAGAGGACGGAGUCCGUCCCUCUACAACCACUCAGCGUGGGGGACAGGACAGCCAGACCAAAACUCAAAGGAGGAUUAAACAGCAGAAACAAGUCUCGCCUGUCUCCAGCUGUGUGUCCAUGAAAAGUGACUGGUCAAAGGGUCGACCUGUUGAUUUUAAAAGUGGA